CUGCAGUGAGCAAUCAGUAAGCAUAGGACGGAGUAGUGAUCCUUACAUGAAGUAGAAAGGGAUGCUUUAAUGAGCACCGCAGAACAGAAGGAAUGGUUGGUUCAAUCAAUUUAUGCAUACUCAUAUUGAAAAAAGAAUAUAGUUUGAAUGAGCAUAAUAGAACAGAGUACCUCACAAUUGUAGGUCUGGAUCCAUGGGAAUUGCAAAACAGUAUAACUGGAUCAAUUAAAAUCAUAAAACAGACUAGGCAUGGAUUAAUAGUAUGUAAUACCUGGGGUCAAUAAAAACCACAGAACAGUAGGAGUGUAGGACCUGAUCCAUGGGAACCACACAACAGUAGGACCUGAUCCAUGGGAACCACACAACAUUAGGACUGGAUCCAUAGAAACCACAGAACAUCAGGACUGGAUCACUCAGGGAACCACACAGCAGUAGGACUUGUUCCAUUGGAACCAUACAAUUGUGUAUUAGAACUAUGGUGACCACAAAGCAGUAGGACUAGAUUACUUGGAAACACACAUCAGGACUGGGUCACUUUGAACCACACAACAGUAUGGGUGUAGGGCUUGAACCAUGGUAACCACACACCAGAAGGACUGGAUCACUGGAAACCACACAACAGUAGGACUGGAUCCAUGGAAACCACAAAACAUCAGGACUAGAUCACUCAGGGAACCACACAGCAGUAGGACUUGGUCACAGGGAACCACACAACACAGUGUUGUAGGACUGGUCCACAGGGAGUCUCACAACAGUAGGACUGGAUCAAGUAAAAUAACAAAACAGUAUGAAGGAUAAGAAGAAAGCACAAAACAGUUAUACCACGUCAAUGAGAAUGUAGGAUGUAAAGAUCACUUGAAACCACACAACAGAAGGGGUACGGCUUGAACCAUGAUAAUCAAACACCAGACGGACUAGAAACCACAAAACAGUAGGAGUGUAGGACUUGAACCAUAUGGCAACCACACAACAGUAGGACUAAAUCCCUUGGAACCACACAGCAGUAGGACUGUAUCCAUGGAAACCACACAACAGUAGGACUGGAUUAAACAGAACUACAAAAUCCUAUAAUUAACUUAUAAACAAUAGAAAAUUGGACCAAGGAGAACUGAAGAACAGUAGGACUGGAUCCAAGAAAAUCCAUAGAACAGAAGGGCAUAUACUUGAUCAGCUAGAACAACAAAACAGUCUGACUUAUGGGAGGUGAUCAUAAAAUGACUGAACCUUUUUUAAACUCAUAGAGAUGUGUGAGGAAAUCAAUGAGAAGCCCAACAUAUAUGAAAAGUUUUGACCAAGCUAGUAAGGCACCUGUCAUAAAAUCAGUUGCCAGUGAGUUCAAAACCUAGUCAUCUCUUCUCCAUCAUCCCUAAAUUCUCCAUAAGUUCCCAUUAUCCAUACAUAUUCUUUAUCCUUGAAUUGAUUUAUCUUUGGUUUUGAAUGUAUCUUUUACCACUGAAAAUUAGUGCAAAAAUCAUAAUCUGGCCACAAACUCACUGAAUAAUGCUUUCUAUUAAAUCAAAAGAGCACGAGAGGCUGCAGAUGAAUUAGGGAACUGACUUCUGAUGUGUUUACUAAAUCUAAGUGUACUGAGCCAACGUGUCAAUAUAAAGUCUCCUAUAUCAAACACUUGUCUUUUAUCUGUAAAUAUUAACAGAGUAACAGAUCCUUGUAUAUGUACAAGUCAUUAGACAACCACUAUGUUCAAUGCUUGUCAAUGCAGCCCACGUACUGUAUAAUCUGAUUAGAAUAAAAACAAAAACAAUGGAAUAGUUUAAGAUCUGACAACCGGUCAAAGUCUUCACAUAAAGGUAACACAUCACGUGGCUGGCUUAAUUAAUCCUAUUAUUUGUGUGUGUUUUUAAAAAUUAAAUGGUUCCAGAGAGGUUGACAAACACCAGAUGUUUCGAUCUCCAAGACUUGGGGGGAGAUAUCUAGGUUAUCUGUCCCUCCUGCAUUAGGAUCUCUCGGUCUUGAAGCAUGAAGGUAGUCCCCGGUCCCUCCCCAAAGAAGAGAUUACAGUGUGACCUCAUUUAUCAAACUUAAGCCAAACAAUUCACUUUUGUACAACUCUUCAUAGAUAAAAAUCUCAAAAUGACAUGAUGUUAAUAUCACACAGACAAGUUGAGACAACACAUACAGAUCAUGAAAUUCCACACAUGUAAAUUGAUAAAAAUAAAAUUUAUAUAGAUGAUUAUAUAUUUGUUAUAAUCUUGUAAAAUGAUAUAAAUUGCUUUCAUAUUCAUAUAAGUAAUCAAUAAAUACUAUGCAUUAUUUGA
rnacentral:sRNA from 1 species